UACGAAGGGGGCUAGCGUUGCUCGGAAUCACUGGGCGUAAAGCGCACGUAGGCGGCUUUCUAAGUCGGGGGUGAAAUCCUGGAGCUCAACUCCAGAACUGCCUUUGAUACUGGAGAGCUAGAGUCCGGAAGAGGUGAGUGGAACUGCGAGUGUAGAGGUGAAAUUCGUAGAUAUUCGCAAGAACACCAGUGGCGAAGGCGGCUCACUGGCCCGGUACUGACGCUGAGGUGCGAAAGCGUGGGGAGCAAACAGG
rnacentral:rRNA from 1 species